rnacentral:misc_RNA from 1 species
UUUAUGUCAUUUUGUGUCCACUCUGAGCUUUGAGUACCGUCGUUUCAUCUAAUUUCAUUUGAUGUAUUUUGUGUUUUAUUUUCCACUACUCUUAUUGUUGAUUGAUAAUUAAUAGGUCCUUUUCGAGUUUUAAUAUCUGGGACAUUUUGUAAAUGGAUAUUAUUUUCAUGUUAGCUUUGUUCAAUUUCAGGGAUUAGGAAUUGAUUUUUGUUGGCUAUUGUGGGCUUUAAGAACUGAGAAUGUAAAUGGUAGUUUUGAAGUUUGAAAUGAAGGGAAACCUUCCUCUACCCUUUGUCCUUUUUGGAAUUUAAAUUAAGAAGAAGCCCUUUUGAUUGUCUGGUGCUUUGAAGUUUAUGGGAAAAAGCCAAUAGUUUCUAAGUG